CGGAAGUGAAGGUCGUAACGUUCGAUAUAUUUUCGAGUUAGGAUUGAGACUUGCUGCGUUCGGGACGCAGAGGUCGGAGGUUCAAAUCCUCUCGCUCCGA
rnacentral:tRNA from 1 species